AUCCCCUCAGGGCCACAUCUGGAGAGUUUCCAGUACUCUACCAGUCUGGACUAUGGGAGGGAGAGUCAAGCAGAGGCCUAUUCAUUCCAUUCCUAGUUUUUCCAGUGGCGAGUGAGUGGAACACAAUCUGCUACAAAU
rnacentral:snoRNA from 1 species